rnacentral:lncRNA from 14 species
UGAUCCCAUCCCAUCCCAUCCCAUCCCAUUGAUCCCAUCCCAUCCCAUUGAUCCCAUCCCAUCCCAUCCCAUUUCCACCCCAUCCCUAUCUCCAUCCUGUUCCCCCUCCCAGCCCCAUUUUGGGGACACCUCAGGGACCUCGGGGGGAACUGAGCAGGACUUUAGGGGAUGACAGGGAUCAAGGGGGCUCUUGGGGGAUGCAGAGAGCAACCAACCCCCCCCAGCCCCCCCAAUUCUGCCCCUGACUUUGCCCCCCCAGCUGAAGCAGCUGCUGGUGGAGACGGAGAAACUCUCGGCCGAGGUGUUGGGGCUGCGGGGCAGGAGCGCCCGGCUGCAGCUCCAGCUGGAGGUCCAGCAGAAGCAGCACCGGGACACUGUGGCCGUGUACCGGAGCCACCUCCUCCAGGCUGCCCAGGGAUUCAUGGACGAGGGCGUCCACGCCGCGCUGCUGCGGAUCCUGCGGGCCGAGGCGGGAGCGGGGCCGUGGCAUUAAACCGGGAAAUUGUGACACACACGUGGCCGUGUCCCAUUCUGUGUCCCUUUCCGUGUCCCGUGUCCCCAUCCUGUGUCCCUUUCC